GUAGCUGGGACUACAGGCAUGUGCCAGCAUGUCCAGCUAAUUUUUUGUAUUUUUAGUAGAGACAGGGUUUCACCAUGUUGGCCAGCCUGGUCUCGAACUCCUGACCUCAAGUAAUCCUCCCACCUCGGCUUCUCAAAAUGCUGGAAUUACAGGUGUGAGCCACGAUGCCUAGCCCUUUAUGUACACUUUGAAUAAAUGCUGUAUAUAUCAACAUUUAAAGAUUUUAAUACACCCAAUGAACUUUUUUCUUGAUUUAUAAAUUUAUCGAUCCAGUGAAGAUUGGAUUAGUUCAUUUGUAAAUGUUCUGUACUUUUAUACCUAUCUAGUUGCAGGCUAGUAGCAAGCAAUUUUUGGACUGUGUAGGUUCAAAGAAUAUCCUUUGAAUAGCACUAUUUUACAUGCUUUAGAUGUAUUAACUAAUUUAACCCUCACAAUAACUCUACAAGGACAGUAUUAUUAUUAUACUAGUGAAGUAACUAAUAAGUGUUAAAAUUUUGCACUCAGGUUUUGGGACUCCAAGGCCCCUGUUCAUAGCAUGUUGUAGAGGGAAAGAGGGAAAGAGGUAAGAUCAGGUAGAUUUCUUUCGUCUCCUAGAGACCCAGGGUGGAAUGAACAAAUGAACAGGAAGCUGUGAAAACUAGUCUGGGGCAAAAGAGAUGAAGUAGAUUAGGGCAUGGGAUAGAAUUGAGGUGGGCUGUAGUGGUUUAUGUCAUUCAGGACUAAUGGAAGUUACCAGCAAAUUCAAAGAAUCAGAAGUGGGGUCCCAGGCCUAGCUCAGGGGUUGAGAGGAGGCCUGAAUUUACAAAGGUCGUUGUUGCUUAGAAUUGAUUAUAGUCUUCAAAUAGAACAUAAGGAAAAGAAUAUAUGAAAGAGUGCCAUUUGUUCUGUAAAGACAUUCUAACCAAAUGGCUAGUAUGGACAAUUACUUGCAGCUAGCAGAACAAAGAAAGUAAUUGAUCAAAUGCAAUUGAAAGAGAUCCUUGACCUAGCUCUCCAGCCUCCUGCAUAUGUCAUUUAGAAGGGCGACUUGACUCUUAAUAAGUCUUUAUUUCUAGAAAGUUUUUUCUUUUAAGUAACAUGUUUAAUGGGAAGAUAAUAAAAUAUUUUCAAUGCUAUUUUAUUCUCAUGACUUAAAUAAAAACUUCAGGACUUGGGAAAUAUCCCCCUUAUGAUAAAGCAGACAAAGAGGUAAAUGUAUGGAUUUCCUGAAUUGUCUCAUCAAAAGCAGUGUGGGUUAAAAACAGGAGGUGUGGCUGGGCCCAGUGGCUCACUCCUGUAAUUGCCAGCACUUUGGGAGGCCAAGGUGGGUGGAUCACUUGAGGCCAGGAGUUCGAGACCAGCCUGGCCAACAUGGCAAAACUCUGUCUCUACUAAAAAUGCAAAAAAAAAAUUAGCUGGGCGUGGUGGCGCGUGCCUGUAAUCCCAGCUACUCAGGUGGCUGAGACAUGAGAAUUGUUUGAACCCAGGAGAUGGAGGUUGCAGUGAGGCCAAGAUCAUGCCGCUGCACUCCAGCCUGAGGACAGAACGAGACUCUGUCUCAAAAAAAAAAAAAAAAAAAAAAAAAAAAAAACCAACAACAACAAAACAGGAGGUGUUAUUGAAGCUUUUCCUGCCAAAGGCAGAGAGGUAAAAGAAAACCAAGAUGAGCGUGAAGGGCUGUGUGUGUCUGCGGGGGUGUGUGUGUGUGUGCUCUCCGAUUUCCUUCUAGUAAAACUCUCCUAAUCUAACUUGGCUCCAUAGUGAGGCAGACAUUACUGAGAGCAGUAAGUAAUGUGACUAUCUCAAUUCACGGUAGACUCUCAACUUACUUAUAUGUAGACUUUGAAGAGGAUGAGGUUUGGGAGUUGGGUUACAGGUGUCCAUUUAAAAUACUGAACCUACAAUUUCUCCACCUCUGUUCCCUGCAGAGGCAUUUCUGCAGGACAUAGUAUCAGGCCUGGUCCUGAAGUUCUAUUAGAACUCUGCUCUGUCAUCCAGGCUGGAGUGCAGUGGCACAAUCUUGGUGCAUGGCAGCCUUGAACUCCUUGAACUGCCUCAGCCUCCUGAGUAGCUGGGAUAACAGGCAUGAGAGCCACUGAACCCAGCAAUACUUUAUUUAAUAUUAUUUUUAUAUUUAUUUUUGUACUCUGCGAUUCUAAUAAAUGAAUAACACUUUAUUUUAAAAUAGGCUUUGCGUUAGGUUAUUUUGCCUGACCAUAGGCUAAUAUAAGUGUUUAGGGGAGGCUAGGGUAAGCUAUGAUGUUGAAAGGGCUGUGCAUUAAAUGCAUUUUUGAUUUCGGGUGGGUUUAUUGGGACUCAUUCCUAUCAUAUGGUGAGAAGUGUCUGUAUUUUCCCUAUCAAUUUCUAUGUGCUGUGUGUGUGUGUGUGUGUGUGUGUGUGUGUGUGUGUGUGUCUUAGCCAUUGGAGAUUAAGUUGUAGACAUUGUGAAACUUCAUGCUUAAAUACUUCAACAUGUAUCAUUCUAAAAGAAGGACCUUUGUGUAUUUGACCAUAUACCAGUUAAGAAAGACCGAGGCAGUGGAAAUGGUCUGCUCUUGGUGCAGGCAAUAAUUAGGUACAUUUUCCAUAAAGAAUUUUAAAACCAUAAUAAAACCCAACCAUACACUGGCAAUUCUGAAAAUGUUAGUGAUAAAAUACCUCUCCCUAAAAAAGAUUUUGUUGUUGUUUAGGCUGUAAAAAAUUGCUGCUUACUCUUGAAUGACACGUAAGCUUUGUUGGGGCUCAGAAAGCAAUACCUGAAAGACUGGCACUCUGACAUGCUAAGAAGCCUUAGGAGCUGCCUUAUAAUCAAAGCCUUUCUAAACUUGCCUUGUCCCCCUCUCAAGUGGAGAUUCUCUCUGGAAUUUCCUUAUCUGACUAAGAAAGCUUCUUUCCAAAUGACAUGCAGUUGUCUUAAGACCCCUCCCUAAAAAUCUCAUCAAAUAACCAGGCAAGAUCAACCACCCAGAGAAGAGAAGAGACUAGGAGUCCUCAUUACUCCCAGACAGACUUUUCAUCUAUUCUUCUUAGAGAAGUCCUAGAGAUUGCCUGGGGAACCUUAUCUGGAUAAUAAGACAAUCUUUGUUUCUGUGCAGUUCCACCCUUCACAUUCCCAAACAGUCAUUUACUAACCGUUUUCUGAGCACUGGGCCUAUUAAUUCCCCAAUUUUCCUCUUCACUGUGUCACACAGACUUCCUAUCACACUGUUUAGGAUGGAAUGUCAAAUACACUCUUUUAAUUGGAAAGAAAAUGUAAACAAGCUGUAAAGAAAAGAAAACAGGCUGUACAGAAAACACAUUGUAACUCAUUAAAUUGGUAUAGUUCAUAAGCCAGCCUUAUUUAGAGAAUGUUAUAAUCCCACUAAAUUUCUUUGUGUUCUGCCUAUAUAAGCAAGAUCGUAACUUGAGAGCAUUGACCCCAUUUCUCUGGAGUCUGUGUUUCCUGGAUGGUAACUUCCAGCGUUUUACUCAAAUAAACUCAUUAAAACUGAAUUCUGAUCCUUUUGGUUAUUUCAGGUCGAUGGAAAUAAGAAUGUUUUCUUACU
rnacentral:lncRNA from 1 species